rnacentral:rRNA from 1 species
AACUUGUUUAACGGCCGCGGUAUCCUGACCGUGCAAAGGUAGCAUAAUCAUUUGUUCUCUAAAUAAGGACUUGUAUGAAUGGCCACACGAGGGUUUAACUGUCUCUUACUCCCAAU